CUUGCUUCUCUUGAGAGCGGCGGACGGGUGAGUAAUGCCUAGGAAUCUGCCUGGUAGUGGGGGAUAACGUCCGGAAACGGACGCUAAUACCGCAUACGUCCUACGGGAGAAAGCAGGGGACCUUCGGGCCUUGCGCUAUCAGAUGAGCCUAGGUCGGAUUAGCUAGUUGGUGGGGUAAUGGCUCACCAAGGCGACGAUCCGUAACUGGUCUGAGAGGAUGAUCAGUCACACUGGAACUGAGACACGGUCCAGACUCCUACGGGAGGCAGCAGUGGGGAAUAUUGGACAAUGGGCGAAAGCCUGAUCCAGCCAUGCCGCGUGUGUGAAGAAGGUCUUCGGAUUGUAAAGCACUUUAAGUUGGGAGGAAGGGCAGUAAAUUAAUACUUUGCUGUUUUGACGUUACCGACAGAAUAAGCACCGGCUAACUCUGUGCCAGCAGCCGCGGUAAUACAGAGGGUGCAAGCGUUAAUCGGAAUUACUGGGCGUAAAGCGCGCGUAGGUGGUUCGUUAAGUUGGAUGUGAAAUCCCCGGGCUCAACCUGGGAACUGCAUUCAAAACUGACGAGCUAGAGUAUGGUAGAGGGUGGUGGAAUUUCCUGUGUAGCGGUGAAAUGCGUAGAUAUAGGAAGGAACACCAGUGGCGAAAGCGACCACCUGGACUGAUACUGACACUGAGGUGCGAAAGCGUGGGGAGCAAACA
rnacentral:rRNA from 1 species